rnacentral:rRNA from 1 species
UCAGACGAUGCGUCAUGCAUAUCAAUAAGCGGAGGAAAAGAAACUAACAAGGAUUCCCUUAGUAACGGCGAGUGAAGCGGGAAGAGCUCAAAUUUGAAAUCUUCAAGGUUUUACCUUGACGAAUUGUAGUUUAAAGAAGUGUUUUCUGCUGAAGUUUUGGUAAAAGUUCUUUGGAAUAGGACAUCAUAGAGGGUGAGAAUCCCGUAUUUGACCAUUACUUUCAACUUUGUGAUACACUUUCAAAGAGUCGGAUUGUUUGGGAAUGCAGUCCAAAAUGGGUGGUAAAUUUCAUCUAAAGCUAAAUAUUGGCGAGAGACCGAUAGCGAACAAGUACCGUGAGGGAAAGAUGAAAAGAACUUUGAAAAGAGAGUUAAACAGUACGUGAAAUUGUCAAAAGGGAAGCGUUUGACACCAGUGUUGUUUUCUCGAAAAUCAAUUAAAAAUGGCUCGAUUUUGUAUUGCUUGAGACCUUAAAAGCUCACUGUACAUUUUUCGUGUCUUUUUUAAUGCACUUUUCGUUUAACAAGUCAACAUCAGUUUCUUUUGUUGUAAAAGGGUCAUUGGAAGGUGGCUUUCUUUUCGGAGAAAGUGUUUAUAGCCUUUGGCCUCUGCAAUCGGAAGAGACUGAGGUCUGCAGCGUAGACUCUUCGGGGUUAGAUACAUUUGUGCUAAGUUAUAGCUUUUUAUAGACAACUUGUUGACUAUAAUUAGUCUUGUAGCUUACUCGCUUAUGCUAUUUUACCUACGCUUAGGAUGUUGACUGAUAUGUAGUCGUA